CUCAAACUAGAGCAUGCGCAUCACCGCCGGUAGCCGUUCGAAAGACUGAGAAAUGGCGGAGUACUGGCAAGUACAGGGAGCCGGGUAUUAGAGGCAGAGGAUUGGCGGACGGGAAACGCAAACCAAACAUUACAUCAAGAUCUGACAGAGUCAUGUGAUUCGUCAGGACCCGAAUAUCAUCAAACUUUUAAUGUGGAAGGGUAUUGGAAGGAGACAAUUUGCAGUCGGGCAACUCAAACCAAACACCACAUCAGGAUCUGACAGAGUCACCCAAUUUAUUGUAACCUAAAUAUCACCGGAUUUUGAACA